AACGAACGCUGGCGGCGCGCCUAAUACAUGCAAGUCGAGCGAGAAAGUGUAGCAAUACACUUGUAAAGCGGCGAACGGGUGAGGAAUACAUGGGUAAUCUACCAUCGAGUGGGGAAUAACCAACCGAAAGGUUGGCUAAUACCGCGUACGCCUCCGAGUCUUCGGGUUCGGAGGGAAAGCUGCACUGUGAGUGUAGCGCUCUUUGAUGAGCUCAUGUCCUAUCAGCUUGUUGGUAGGGUAAUGGCCUACCAAGGCUUUGACGGGUAGCUGGUCUGAGAGGACGAUCAGCCACACUGGCACUGCGACACGGGCCAGACUCCUACGGGAGGCAGCAGUAAGGAAUAUUGCGCAAUGGGCGAAAGCCUGACGCAGCUCGGCCGCGUGGGGGAUGAAGGUCUUCGGAUUGUAAACCCCUUUCGGGAGGGAAGAUGGAGCGAGCAAUCGUUCGGACGGUACCUCCAGAAGCAGCCACGGCCAACUUCGUGCCAGCAGCCGCGGUAAUACGAAGGUGGCAAGCGUUGUUCGGAUUCACUGGGCGUACAGGGUGUGUAGGCGGUUUGGUAAGCCUUCUGUUAAAGCUUCGGGCCCAACCCGGAAAGCGCAGAGGGUACUGCCAGGCUAGAGGGUGGGAGAGGAGCGCGGAAUUCCCGGUGUAGCGGUGAAAUGCGUAGAGAUCGGGAGGGAAGGCCGGUGGCGAAGCGGCGCUCUGGAACAUACCUGACGCUGAGACACGAAAGCGUGGGGAGC
rnacentral:rRNA from 1 species